UCCCACAGUAGCCAACGUGGUAAAGCAUGAGACUCUUAAUCCCAGAGUUGUGAGUUCGAGCCCCACAUUGGGCA